rnacentral:rRNA from 1 species
CCUACGGGAGGCAGCAGUGGGGAAUAUUGCACAAUGGGGGACACCCUGAUGCAGCGACGCCGCGUGAGUGAAGAAGUAAUUCGUUACGUAAAGCUCUAUCAGCAGGGAAGAAAAUGACGGUACCUGAGUAAGAAGCUCCGGCUAACUACGUGACAGCAGCCGCGGUAAUACGUAGGGGGCAAGCGUUAUCCGGAUUUACGGGGUUUAACGGGAGCGUAGACGGUGCGCCAAGUCGGGAGUGAAAUGCCGCGGCUUAACUGCGGAACUGCUUUGGAAACUGGCGAACUAGAGUGCGGGAGGGGUAGGCGGAAUUCGUAGUGUAGCGGUGAAAUGCGUAGAUAUUAGGAGGAACACCGGUGGCGAAGGCGGCUUACUGGACCGUAACUGACGUUGAGGCUCGAAAGCGUGGGGAGCAAACAGGAUUAGAUACCCUAGUAGUC